UCACUCUAGCCUGGGCAAUUAAGUGAGACUCUGUCUCAAAAAAAUAGAAAAUAAAUAAAUAAAAGAAACCUGGACAAGACACAGUAAUAGCCACUCAAACCCAGACCACAGCAGGGAGAGAAGAACGGGGACAGCAGCGACCUCACGCCCACAGAUGGGACAGAAAGCCCAACACAGGGCCUGCGUGGCACAGCUGCUAAGGAACCGUGCACCUUACAGAGCUGGGAACAGCCCAGAUCAGAGACCCAAGGGUGCUGGAGGGACUGACACCCACUGCCACCUCUCCUAGCCCCCCCUGAGACAGACAGACCGACACCCCAGCACCCGCCACAGUGUCAAUCCCAAGCGGGAGCUCUCUGAGGGCCAAGUUGGGAACUAUUAGAAUCACCUAAUGAAUCUAGGGCCACCAUGUCCCUGCCUCCCACCCUGAAUCACACAGCCUGCGUCCUAGUGUGCGCGGCUGUGUUCAGCCUUCACUGUGGCCGGGAGAUUCACCCGGGCCAUGGAGCGCAUGGGGCGUUCGCUCCCUUUUCAGUGCUGCGUACUAUUCCACUGCGAGCCACUCCACUGUCCUGCUGACAGGCAGCUGGUGCUUUUCAGCUUGGAGCUCUUGCAAAUAAGGCUGCUGUGGAUGUUCUCGUAGGUGCCUUUUGGUGGACGUAUGGACCUAUUUCCCGUGGCUACGUAUCUAGGAGCAGAGCUGCUGAGUCGUAGCACGCGUGAUGUUCAGCUGUAGCUCUCCAAAGCGCUUAGCCCGAUUCCCAUUCCCACCAGCAGCGAGCGCGAGUUCCUGUCUUUACCUUUCUUUCCUCUUGGUCUGCAUCUGGCGCGCCCUGCGUCUCCCUGUGUCUGUCUCCCUCGUUCCUGGUCCUCCCUGUAUUGGUCCUCAGCUCCCCCAUGUCCCCCCCCCCAAACCAGCUUUGACUUUUGUGUGACUCGGACCUCCCCCUCCUCCCCCAUAGGAUCCCACCACCCUCCAUGGCUCCCCUGGCCUUGGUGGGGGUCGCGCUCCUCCUGGGGGCUCCCCCAUGUUCCGGGGCGGCCACCCCGACCCCCUCCCUGCCGCCUCCCCCCGCCAAUGACAGCGACACCAGCACAGGGGGCUGCCAGGGCUCCAACCGCUGCCAGCCGGGGGUCUUGCUGCCCGUGUGGGAGCCCGACGACCCGUCGCUGGGGGACAAGGCGGCUCGGGCGGUGGUCUACUUCGUGGCCAUGGUCUACAUGUUCCUGGGCGUGUCCAUCAUCGCCGACCGCUUCAUGGCGGCCAUCGAGGUCAUCACGUCGAAGGAGAAGGAGAUCACCAUCACCAAGGCCAACGGCGAGACCAGCGUGGGCACCGUGCGCAUCUGGAACGAGACGGUGUCCAACCUCACGCUCAUGGCGCUGGGCUCCUCGGCGCCCGAGAUCCUGCUGUCCGUCAUCGAGGUGUGCGGCCACAACUUCCAGGCGGGCGAGCUGGGCCCGGGCACCAUCGUGGGCAGCGCCGCCUUUAACAUGUUCGUGGUCAUCGCCGUGUGCAUCUACGUCAUCCCGGCUGGCGAGAGCCGCAAGAUCAAGCACCUGAGGGUCUUCUUCGUCACCGCGUCCUGGAGCAUCUUCGCCUACGUCUGGCUCUAUCUCAUCCUCGCCGUCUUUUCCCCAGGAGUGGUCCAGGUGAGCAAGGAGCCGGGGCACUUUCUGGGUGCGUGUGUGAUUUGUGUGUUUGCAGAAAUGCAUGCUCACAGCCCAGAGGGCCACCGACCACAGGGCCGGAGUCCUGCUGGUGCCACCCGGCCACGGCUCUGGAAGGUUCCGCAAGCGCUCAUCCGCCCACAGGGGCCACCCUUUCGCACCACAGCGCACUCACCCGGAAGGGAUUCCCGACACAGCGCACUCACCAGGAAGGGAUCCCCACCACAGCGCACUCACCCGGAAGGGGUUCCCACCACAGCGCACUCACCCGGAAGGGGUCCCCACCACAGCGCACUCACCCGGAAGGGGUUCCCACCACAGCGCACUCACCCGGAAGGGGUCCCCACACAGCCGCACUCACCCGGAAGGGUUCCCACACACAGCAACACUCACCCGGAAGGGAUUCCCACCACAGCGGAACUCACCGGAAGGGUUCCCACCACAGCGCACUCACCCGGAAGGGAUCCCACCACAGCGCACUCACCCGGAAGGGAUUUGCACCACAGCACACUUACCCGGAAGGGAUUCCCACCAUAG